rnacentral:rRNA from 1 species
CCUCAGGGGAGUUGCUUAGAUACGGCGAGUGAGCGGCAAAAGCUCAAAUUUGAAAUCUGGCACCUUCGGUGUCCGAGUUGUAAUUUGAAGAAGGUAACUUUGGAGUUGGCUCUUGUCUAUGUUCCUUGGAACAGGACGUCACAGAGGGUGAGAAUCCCGUGCGAUGAGAUGCCCAAUUCUAUGUAAAGUGCUUUCGAAGAGUCGAGUUGUUUGGGAAUGCAGCUCUAAGUGGGUGGUAAAUUCCAUCUAAAGCUAAAUAUUGGCGAGAGACCGAUAGCGAACAAGUACAGUGAUGGAAAGAUGAAAAGAACUUUGAAAAGAGAGUGAAAAAGUACGUGAAAUUGUUGAAAGGGAAGGGCUUGAGAUCAGACUUGGUAUUUUGCGAUCCUUUCCUUCUUGGUUGGGUUCCUCGCAGCUUACUGGGCCAGCAUCGGUUUGGAUGGUAGGAUAAUGACUAAGGAAUGUGGCUCUACUUCGGUGGAGUGUUAUAGCCUUGGUUGAUACUGCCUGUCUAGACCGAGGACUGCGUCUUUUGACUAGGAUGUUGGGCAUAAUGGAUCUUAUAGCCACCCCGUCUUGAAACAACGGGACCCAAAAAAAAAAGGGGCGGCCCCGGGCCGGGGGCGUGUAAAAACUAUCCUGUUAGGUUGUUGUGGUGGUGUGGUUGGGU